rnacentral:lncRNA from 1 species
AGAAAUUUUAUUUUGGCCAGGAGCUGAAGUUGGUUGUUUAGUAGUAGUAGUUUGAGUAGUGACCGAAGUAGUAGUCUGGUGUGGUAAUUGGGGCAGCUGUGGUCUCUUGUGGAGCUGGGGAAGACGGUGGAGCUGGUGUAGUUGCAGAAGGUGUGGGUGGGACAGCUGUGGUCUCUGGUGGAGCUGAGGAAGAUAGUGGAGCUGGUGUAGUUGCAGAAGGUGUGGGUGGGGCAGCUGUGGUGUCUUGUGGAGCUGGGGAAUUCACUGGUGCUAAUGUAGCUACAGAAGAGCUUGUGUUAACAUUUUCUCUUGAAGAUAUGGUGGUGGCAUUCUGGGGAAGAAAAGUCACAUUUGGAAGGGUAGUAAUUUUGGUGGAAGCUUAGGCCUACAGCGUUUGUGCAGACAUUUAUAGGACUUUCUAAUGAACGGCUUCUGGUGAGCUAGCAGU